UCUCCUACGGGGCGCAGCAGUGAGGAAUAUUGGUCAAUGGCCGAGAGGCUGAACCAGCCAAGUCGCGUGAGGGAAGACGGCCCUACGGGUUGUAAACCUCUUUUGUCGGGGAGCAAAGAGAGUCACGUGUGACUCAUUGAGAGUACCCGAAGAAAAAGCAUCGGCUAACUCCGUGCCAGCAGCCGCGGUAAUACGGAGGAUGCGAGCGUUAUCCGGAUUUAUUGGGUUUAAAGGGUGCGCAGGCGGAGGUGCAAGUCAGCGGUCAAAUUGCGGGGCUCAACCCCGCACUGCCGUUGAAACUGCAU
rnacentral:rRNA from 1 species